UUAAACUGAAGAGUUUGAUCAUGGCUCAGAUUGAACGCUGGCGGCAGGCUUAACACAUGCAAGUCGAGCGGUAACAGGAAUUAGCUUGCUAAUUUGCUGACGAGCGGCGGACGGGUGAGUAACGCGUA
rnacentral:rRNA from 1 species